GGAAGGGUGGCCGAGCGGUUUAAGGCGCAGGUCUCGAAAACCUGUUGGGGAGAAAUCCUCUCGAGAGUUCGAAUCUCUCCCCUUCCG
rnacentral:tRNA from 1 species